UCCAGGGUAGCCUAGUGGACAUGGCACCUGCCAAGUAAGCAGAAGGUUGUGGGUUCGAUUCCCGCCCCUGGAC
rnacentral:tRNA from 1 species